rnacentral:rRNA from 1 species
GACGAACGCUGGCGGCGUGCUUAACACAUGCAAGUCGAGCGGCGCGGCGAACGGGUGAGUAAAGCGUGAGUAACUGGCCCCCUCUCUGGGAUAACAGUUGGAAAAGGCAGCUAAUACCGGAUAGUGGGGGAUGAAUCGCGUCCUAUCAGCUUGUUGGUGGGGUAGUGGCCUACCAAGGCGACGACGGGUAGCCGGGCUGAGUGGGCGACCGGCCACCUUCCGCUGAGAUACGGCCCAAACUCCUACCGUAGGCAGCAGUGGGGACUAUUGCACAACGGGGGAAACCCUGAUGUAGCAACGCCGCGUGCGGGAUGACGGCCUUCGGGUUGUAAACCGCUUUCAGCCAUGACGCGGUAGUGGCAGAAGAAGCACCGGCUAACUACGUGCCAGCAGCCGCGGUAAUAC